rnacentral:tRNA from 1 species
CCGGGGCCGGGCUACCGGGUGGUGCCGCGCUCGUCGAGGACGGGCGGGACGGUGACGCGCCGGGUCGCCGCCGGCGCGCCGUCCC